rnacentral:sRNA from 1 species
UGAUUGAUGACCAUUAUUUCUUCUUCGU